AGCAAAUGAUGAUCUCAUUAUCUUGGUCUGUGUUGCUGAAAAUACAUGACAGAUAACGAUCGAAUCUGAUGAU